CAUUACAGAGUUUACAACUCCCAAACCCAUGUGAACUUACCUUCAAGUUGCUUCGGCGGCCCCGCCCCGGUGCCCGGAAACCCCCAGGUUUUCGCGGCCCGGACCAAGGCAGCCGCCGGAGGCCACAAACUCUUCUGUUUUUACAGUUUCUUCUGAGUGUGCCGCAAGGCAACAAAACAAAUGAAUCAAAACUUUCAACAACGGAUCUCUUGGUUCUGGCAUCGAUGAAGAACGCAGCGAAAUGCGAUAAGUAAUGUGAAUUGCAGAAUUCAGUGAAUCAUCGAAUCUUUGAACGCACAUUGCGCCCGCCAGCAUUCUGGCGGGCAUGCCUGUUCGAGCGUCAUUUCAACCCUCGAGCUCCCCUUGGGGAGCCCGGCGUUGGGGACCGGCACUCACACUGCCGGCCCCGAAAUGGAGUGGCGGCCCCGUCCGCGGCGACCUCUGCGUAGUAACUCAACCUCGCAUCGGGACCCGGGCGCGGCCACGCCGUAAAACCCCCCACUUUCUGAACGUUGACCUCGAAUCAGGUAGGAAUACCCGCUGAACUUAAGCAUAUCAAUAAGCGGAGGAAAAGAAACCAACAGGGAUUGCCCCAGUAACGGCGAGUGAAGCGGCAACAGCUCAAAUUUGAAAUCUGGCCCCUAGGGCCCGAGUUGUAAUUUGUAGAGGAUGCUUUUGGCGAGGCGCCUUCCGAGUUCCCUGGAACGGGACGCCACAGAGGGUGAGAGCCCCGUCUGGUCGGAUGCCAAGCCUAUGUAAAGCUCCUUCGACGAGUCGAGUAGUUUGGGAAUGCUGCUCANAAUGGGAGAUAUAUGUCUUCUAAAGCUAAAUAUAGGCCA
rnacentral:rRNA from 1 species